rnacentral:tRNA from 1 species
GGGGACAUAGCUCAGCUGGGAGAGCGCCUGCUUUGCAAGCAGGAAGUCAGGGGUUCGAGUCCCCUUGUCUCCA